rnacentral:rRNA from 1 species
GGGAACGUAUUCACCGCAGCGUUGCUGAUCUGCGAUUACUAGCGACUCCGACUUCACGGGGUCGAGUUGCAGACCCCGAUCCGAACUGAGACCAGCUUUUUGGGAUUCGCUCCACCUUAUGGUCUCGCAGCCCUUUGUACUGGCCAUUGUAGCAUGCGUGAAGCCCAAGACAUAAGGGGCAUGAUGAUUUGACCUCAUCCCCACCUUCCUCCGAGUUGACCCCGGCAGUCUCCUAUGAGUCCCCACCAUUACGUGCUGGCAACAUAGAACGAGGGUUGCGCUCGUUGCGGGACUUAACCCAACAUCUCACGACACGAGCUGACGACAACCAUGCACCACCUGUGAGGCGCCCUUACGGACCCGACAUCUCUGCCGGUUUUCACCCCAUGUCAAGCCUUGG